rnacentral:rRNA from 1 species
UGGGGAAUAUUGGACAAUGGGCGCAAGCCUGAUCCAGCCAUGCCGCGUGUGUGAAGAAGGCCUUUUGGUUGUAAAGCACUUUAAGCGAGGAGGAGGCUACUUGGAUUAAUACUCUAGGAUAGUGGACGUUACUCGCAGAAUAAGCACCGGCUAACUCUGUGCCAGCAGCCGCGGUAAUACAGAGGGUGCGAGCGUUAAUCGGAUUUACUGGGCGUAAAGCGUGCGUAGGCGGCUUUUUAAGUCGGAUGUGAAACCCCUGAGCUUAACUUAGGAAUUGCAAUAGAUACUGGGAAGCUAGAGUAUGGGAGAGGAUGAUAGAAUUCCAGGUGUAGCGGUGAAGUGCGUAGAGAUCUGGAAGAAUACCGAUGGCGAAGGCAGCCAUCUGGCCUAAUACUGACGCUGAGGUACGAAAGCAUGGGGAGCAAACAGA